rnacentral:rRNA from 1 species
CCUACGGGAGGCAGCAGUGGGGAAUAUUGCACAAUGGGGGAAACCCUGAUGCAGCGACGCCGCGUGGGUGAAGAAGUACUUCGUUACGUAAAGCCCUAUCAGCAGGGAAGAAAAUGACGGUACCUGAUUAAGAAGCUCCGGCUAACUACGUGCCAGCAGCCGCGGUAAUACGUAGGGAGCGAGCGUUGUCCGGAAUUACUGGGUGUAAAGGGAGCGUAGGCGGGGAUGCAAGUUGGGUGUCAAAACUACCGGCUCAACUGGUAGUCGCACUCAAAACUGCAGCUCUUGAGUGAAGUAGAGGCAGG